rnacentral:lncRNA from 1 species
ACCGUCACCACGGUCACCAUCACUAACCACAAGCACAGAAGGCCGCUGAGCACAACACACUGUGACAGCAAGCAUUUGGGGAACGGAAAACGAAUAGGAUGCUGGGGUCCUUGUCCUCAACUGCUCACCUAAUGGAACCACUGCCAGGUGUGCAACAUAAAGAAUGUUGAAUGAGAGAUGAAAUUAUGCUAUCUGAUAGAAGUACAACAAUGAGAGCUACACAGGCCUCUCUGCUCCUUCACUGACAGAAUCUGCUUCCUCCCCUGGGAGGGGAGCUGUGCAGGCGGCGGCCAGGAGAGCAGGCCCCCAAGAGCUGAGAGACGCCAAUCUUAGUUUCCAGACAGGACAGAUGGGACUGUGUUCAACCUGCUCUAGCAACACCAAGAUGGCCUCCAACCCUGGCAGGGUGAGCCCCACACCCCAGCCGAGUCCCUACAAGCUCCUGGGGCAACCCUGGCUAUGAAGGAUCAGCUCAAGUUCACCUUGUACUAGGGCUGGAGUGGCCAGCAUAAGAAUGGUUUCCUCCUCAGAAAAACAAGAAAAUACAUGAAAGGUGCAAUUAUCAGGAGCCAGGACUACUUGCAAACUAUAGAGGUGACAUAAGGUGAAUUCAUUUCCUUCCUGUCAGAAGAAACUCAACAAGGCUGUAAUCAGAAGCUAAUGUGUGUGCCUGUGAUUGGGCCCAUCACAGGUGGCACAUAAAUGAACAAAUGCUCCAUGCCUGAAGGAACAUAGCAAAGCCCCUUCUCCAAGAAGUGUCAUUCAUUUGGCCAGC